CUGCCCCACACCCACCUCCUUCCCGUAUGCUCAGGUCACUGAUGAAGAGACCCAAGAGCGAGGCCCAGGGACAACUGUUCCAACCAAAUGAAACUUCAGGAGAUCCCUGCCCAGAGAGAGCAGAGCAAAUACACACUUAGCCAUCAUGAGCCCAUUAGGAUCCCACCAAAGGGUGUGGAGGGUGCACGUGUAACCACAGGGUGCAAGCAGAAAUUUUUUCUUCUACUACAUACGGCCCCUGGGAAUAAAAUUCAGGUGUCAGGCUUGGCACCCAACACCUUCUCCUACGAACCCAUCUAAAGAUCCCAGACCAAGGGCAACCUACAAGUUAACUGGAGAGAUGACUCAGUGGUUAAGAGCACUCACUGGCAGCUCUUCUGGAGACCGGGUGUUCGAUUCCCAGCAUCUACACAGUGGUGUGCAAC